rnacentral:piRNA from 1 species
UGUGACUGGUACACUUUUAUGUUGUUUUG